AGCACUGAAUGGUAUCUGCACCCAGUAGAAAUUUCCUGUUGUGUUCAUUACGCAGUCCGACAGUAUCUCAGCAAGUGGCAUCGUUGGCUUUCAGGCCUCUUGUGUCUGUAAGCCUGGUUUUUAUGCUGGGACAAUA
rnacentral:snoRNA from 1 species